GAGAAGAGAGAGAGACCCCUCAGGCCACAACAGGCCGGGGCCAGAGGCGCCAGCCGCGCUUGGCCCGUCGAUCGCAGCCAGCGCCACCUCCCUGAGAUGGGUUUUCUGAGACUCCCUGCCCUGGGGAGCAGGAGCAGAGAAAGUUCUCUCCCUUUCCAGACGCGCAGCACUCCCCCCGCCCCCGCUCCCGCCGCACCCCGGGUCUCUUUCCUUCUGUUUACCUCCCGGCCCUCCUAGAGACUCUAGGGACUCAGACUCUCUCCGGUGCCCCCACCGCUGGCCUCUUUCUCCCCUUACCACUGCGCCCCUAUUUGCCGUAUUUCCCCCUUUCCUUUCUCUCUCUCUCUCUCUCCUGUCCCCGUCUCUCUCCACCAGUCCUCUUUUUUUGGUGUUUCUUGUAAGUGAAAGUAACCCAGCGCAGGGUGCCUUGGCGUCCUACUCCUG
rnacentral:lncRNA from 1 species